rnacentral:rRNA from 1 species
AUUGAACGCUGGCGGCAUGCUUUACACAUGCAAGUCGAACGGUAGAGGGGGCAACCCCUUGAGAGUGGCGAACGGGUGAGUAAUGCAUCGGAACGUGCCCAGUCGUGGGGGAUAACUACUCGAAAGAGUGGCUAAUACCGCAUACGACCUGAGGGUGAAAGCGGGGGACCGAAAGGCCUCGCGCGAUUGGAGCGGCCGAUGUCGGAUUAGGUAGUUGGUGGGGUAAAGGCCUACCAAGCCUACGAUCCGUAGCUGGUCUGAGAGGAUGAUCAGCCACACUGGAACUGAGACACGGUCCAGACUCCUACGGGAGGCAGCAGUAGGGAAUAUUGGACAAUGGGCGCAAGCCUGAUCCAGCCAUGCCGCGUGAGUGAAGAAGGACCCUCGGGUUGUAAAGCUCUUUUGUCCGGAAAGAAAAGCUUUGGGUUAAUACCCCGAAGUCCUGACGGUACCGGAAGAAUAAGCACCGGCUAACUUCGUG